rnacentral:rRNA from 1 species
UGGGGAAUAUUGGACAAUGGGGGAAACCCUGAUCCAGCGACGCCGCGUGGGUGAUGAAGGCCUUCGGGUUGUAAAGCCCUUUCGUCCACGAUGAUGAUGACAGUAGUGGAAGAAGAAGCUCCGGCUAACUUCGUGCCAGCAGCCGCGGUAAUACGAAGGGGGCUAGCGUUGCUCGGAAUUACUGGGCGUAAAGCGCACGUAGGCGGCGACAAUAGUCAGAUGUGAAAGGCCUGGGCUCAACCCGGGAAUUGCAUUUGAUACUGUGUUGCUAGAGUCCAAGAGAGGGUAGUGGAAUUCCCAGUGUAGAGGUGAAAUUCGUAGAUAUUGGGAAGAACACCAGUGGCGAAGGCGGCUACCUGGCUUGGUACUGACGCUCAGGUGCGAAAGCGUGGGGAGCGAACAGG